UACGAAGGUCCCGAGCGUUGUUCGGAUUCACUGGGCGUAAAGGGAGCGUAGGCUGCGCGGUAAGUCAGAUGUGAAAUCCCGGGGCUCAACCCCGGAACUGCAUCCGAUACUGCCGCGCUUGAGGAUUGGAGAGGUAGCUGGAAUUCUUGGUGUAGCAGUGAAAUGCGUGGAUAUCAAGAGGAACACUCGUGGCGAAAGCGAGCUACUGGACAACUCCUGACGCUGAGGCUCGAAGGCCAGGGUAGCGAAAGGGAUUAGAUACCCCUGUAGUCCUGGCAGUAAACGGUGCACGCUUGGUGUGAGGGGAAUCGACCCCCCUUGUGCCGGAGCUAACGCGUUAAGCGUGCCGCCUGGGAAGUACGGUCGCAAGACUA
rnacentral:rRNA from 1 species